UCUGAAUAUGGGGGGACCAUCUUCCAAGGCUAAAUACUUCUGACUGCCCGAUAGUGAACCAGUACCGUGAGGGAUAGGCGAAAAGAACCCCUGUGAGGGGAGUGAAAUAGAUCCUGAAACCGCAUGCAUACAAGCAGUGGGAGCACCUUCGUGGUGUGACUGCGUACCUUUUGUAUAAUGGGUCAGCGACUUAUAUUCAGUAGCGAGGUUAACCGUAUAGGGGAGCCGUAGAGAAAUCGAGUCUUAAUAGGGCGUUUAGUUGCUGGGUAUAGACCCGAAACCAGGCGAUCUAUCCAUGAGCAGGUUGAAGGUUGGGUAA
rnacentral:rRNA from 1 species